AGGAAAGCAAGUUUUGACACAGCAGAAUUGAGAAGCACGAAGCUGCCAGGAAACCAGAGGCAGAAAUUUCUUCUUUGCAAUUGAUUCUUUCAGGACGCUAUCCCAAGUUUCUGCCACUUCAGUUCCUGUUAUCAUGCUUUGAGGUGCACUGAACUGCAGCAAACCCAGGGGAUCCAAGGCCAUGUUGAAAAGCCUUUGACCGCAGUGCAGGGAGCAGAAGACAUUAAUGACGUGAUGUCGACACAGCCCGCACUCAGGAUCCUCCAGGAGAAGAACACAGAGAUAACCCCGGAUCAAUGGUACUUUUUGAAAAUGCUUUACUGCGAAAGAGUGGCUAGGGUUUUACAAGGGCUAUGAAGAAACAUAUUUAGGUUAAUAAAGCUUUUUAUUGAGUGUUUA